AGCAUACAUGCACCGAAAUAUUAAAAAAAAUCAAAGGAUAAAUAUUGAUUAAUAUUGAUAUGUUUUUAAACCUUUUCCAUUUUGUAAUAGGUUUUUAUCCUGGGAUAUUAUAUCAGGUAUAUGUUGUGAAUAAAUUUAAUGCCUUAACUAAAUACAGCAAAAAUUAUGCGGAGUUAAAACGAAUUCAAAUCAGCUGCCAAAAAUCUGGCAAAUCAUGCAGGUUUCACUGUACUUAAUAUCUGUGUUCAAUUUUCUAUACAUGUUAAUAAUGUUGGAAUACAUAAAUCAUUUGUCAAAUAUAUAAAUGAACUCGAGUAAAAAAAAAGGGGGCGGGUAUAUAAGGUGUUAUUAACUGCCGUCAGUAGCCGAUCGGUUAUAUAAGUAAAAAAGUAGCUGUGCGUUGACAAAUUAUGAAAAUGUUAUUUCAAAAAUUAUUAAAAAAGUAUAAUGUGUUGUGAAAUAAAUGGCAUUGUGUUUCUUUGCAUUUAAUCUUUUUAACAGGAUUUUGUCCAUAUGUCUAUGAAUAGAUUUUUUUUUGUGUUCUUAAAAAUGUGAUUUUUAAAAAAAAAUCCAAAUAUACUUUUAACGGGGUUUUCCGUGGGAAAAAAUCUGAUUAUUGAACUGGAGAAAAUGGCGGAUGAUCGGCUGCCAAAAGGAUAUCCCUUUUGUACGGAUAACUCCUCAAACAGUUUUCUAGAUAGGAAGUUUUUUUAUGGAUACUGUAAAGAAGCCCGAUUUCUGUCGUCACAUUGACAGCUUUCCUUUUUUUGUUUUGUUUUUUUGUUUUUUUUUUAUAUUUUUUAUUUUGUUUAUAAAAAGAAAAAGACAAAUGGUUUGCAGCUGUUCUUUUGACGCUUUCGUCAUAUUGCUUUCUUGUUAUAAUUGAUGAUAUAAUAAAACAGAUUCAAAAUUUUGUUGAUAUUCAUGUCUGUUUGAUAUUUCGGUGUUUAUUUCUCCUUUUAAACUUGUUGAUUUCUAGAUUUGAGCAAAAUGUACAUGUAUGUAGCAACACGAUUUAUUAUGUUAGCUUUUUUACACUUGUAGUUUUAUAUUUAUAUGCAGGUAUAAUUUUUUUUUGAAUUGUAUCAAAUAUUUUACAAUCAAUAAAUAUUACGCAUUGUCCAAUUUACAUUAAAAAAUAGAGACACGACUCCGUGAUUUUCUUUAAAUUUUAUAUUAUGUAUCUUUUUUUCGAACAAGAAUUUAUUAUUUGAAAUAAAUAUCAAGAAGUUUU
rnacentral:sRNA from 1 species